rnacentral:rRNA from 1 species
AUGCUUCAAUAUUUGGACAUUUCCAACAACAAUCUUCAAGGUUCAGUUCCAGUGGAGAUCUUCAGAAUCCCAUCAAUGAUAGGAAUUGAUUUGUCGUUCAACAACCUUGACGAACGACUUUCUAGUGACAUUGGCAAUGCCAAACAACUCAUAUAUUUUCAGCUUUCUUCAAAUAAGUUAUCUGGAGAUAUUCCAAAUACACUAGGUGAUUGUGAAAGCUUAGAAGAAAUUCAGUUAGGCUCAAAUAUUUUCAGCGGAAGCAUUCCCACUUCAUUGGGAAAGAUAAGCAACCUCAAAGUUUUGAAUUUUUAUGCCAAUAACUUAACUGGGUCAAUACCAACAUCUCUUGGCAACCUACAACUACUUGAGAAACUAGAUUUGUCAUUCAACCAACUUCAUGGUGCGGUUCCAACAAAAGGGAUCUUCAAUAAUGCAACUGCCGUGCGUAUUGAUGGAAAUCAGGGGCUUUGUGGUGGGGUACUGGAGUUACAUAUGCUAGCAUGUUCUGUGAUGCCUUCAAAUUCAACUAGGCACAAGGAAUCUUUAGUGCUUAAAGUAGUUAUCACAAUAGCUAGUUUGGUGUCACUUGCUAUGGUCAUAGUUGGCUUAUUGCUCUCGAGAGGAAAGCACAAGAGCAAAUCUACAUCUCUACCAUCAUUUGUUACAAAAUUCCCCCAAGUUUCUUUCAAUGAUCUAGCCAGAGCAACAGAGGGAUUCUCAACGUCCAACCUAAUUGGUAGAGGGAGUUACGGUUCUGUAUAUAAAGGGAAACUAGUUCAUGAUGAAAAAGAGGUUGCUGUGAAAGUGUUCAACCUAGAGACAAGAGGGGCACACAAGAGCUUCAUUGCAGAAUGUAAUAUGUUGAGAAAUGUGAGACACCGCAAUCUAGUCCCUAUCCUAACUGCAUGCUCAAGCAUUGAUUCUAAUGGGAAUGAUUUCAAGGCUCUAGUGUAUGAGCUCAUGCCACGAGGGGACUUACAUAAACUACUAUACUCAACUGGACAGUAUGAAAGCUCUUCAGAUUUGAUCCUCAUUGCGAUGGCUCAAAGGAUAAGUAUUGUGGUGGACGUAGCGGAUGCACUGGAGUAUGUACACCAUAACAACCAAGAAACAAUGAUUCAUUGUGAUUUGAAGCCUAGCAACAUUCUUUUGGAUGACAAUAUGACGGCUCAUGUUGGAGACUUGGGCUUGGCAAGGUUCAAAGUUGGUUCCACAAUGUCAACCCUUGGUAACUCCAACUCUUCUUCUGUUGCAGUAAUGGGGACGAUCGGAUAUGCCGCUCCAGAAUAUGCUGGGGGCGGUCAAGUUUCAACUGCCGCCGAUGUUUACAGCUUUGGUGUCGUUCUCCUCGAGAUAUUCAUUUGA